GGAAGAGCAUCUCUAGCAGAAGGCGGAGGGGCCCCGGGCACUGGUGGUCGCUGUGCCGCUGACCCACCCGCAGGACCCUGGCGGAGCGGCCACACCCCCCAUCCCCGCGAGAUGCUGGAGCCGUUGCGACGGAAGUCCCGCCUUGCUGCUGCGUCGCACUUUGUGCUACUUCAAAACACCACAUCCGCUUCCAGCCAAAGGGAUAGACACUCAGUGGUCCUUUCAGAGCACGCGGGACCUUUCGUUGCAGCGAGUGGGCUUCUUCCUGGUUGUGGCUCCAGAGCGCGCAGGCUCAGUAGUUGUGGCACACGGGCUUAGUUACCCCUUGGCAUGUGGGAUCUUAGUUCCCUGACCAGGGAUCGAACUUGCGUCCCCUGC